rnacentral:rRNA from 1 species
UGAGGAACAUGACCUUCGGCGGGGGAUAGCCGGCCCAACGGCCGGGUAAUACCGCGUACGACCAUCCGGGGACAUCCCUGGGUGGUGAAAGCAGCAAUGCGCCGAUGGAGUGCCUCGCGGCCUAUCAGCUAGUUGGUGAGGUAACGGCUCACCAAGGCGACGACGGGUAGCUGGUCUGAGAGGAUGGCCAGCCACAUUGGGACUGAGACACGGCCCAGACUCCUACGGGAGCAG